AGUUUGAUUAUGGCUCAGAUUGAACGCUGGCGGGAUGCUUUACACAUGCAAGUCGAACGGCAGCACGGACUUCGGUCUGGUGGCGAGUGGCGAACGGGUGAGUAAUGUAUCGGAACGUGCCUAGUAGCGGGGGGAUGGGCUACGCGAAAGCGUAGCUAAUACCGCAUACCUUCGGGGAAAGCGGGGGACCUUCGGCCUCGCACUAAUAGAGCGGCCGAUAUCGAUUAGCUAGUUGGUGGGGUAACGGCUCACCAAGGCGACGAUCCGUAGCUGGUUUGAGAGGACGACCAGCCACACUGGGACUGAGACACGGCCCAGACUCCUACGGGAGGCAGCAGUGGGGAAUUUUGACAAUGGGGGAAACCCCGAUCCAGCCAUCCCGCGUGCGAUGAAGGCCUUCGGGUUGUAAAGCACUUUUGGCAGGAAAGAAACGGCACGGGAUAUCACCUCAGCAACUGACGGUACCUUAAGAAUAAGCACCGGCUAACUACGUGCCAGCAGCCGCGGUAAUACGUAGGGUGCAAGCGUUAAUCGGAAUACCGGGCGUAAAGUGUGCGCAGGCGGUUCGGAAAGAAAGAUGUGAAAUCCUGUGAGCUUAACUUUGGAACUGCAUUUUUAACUACCGAGCUAGAGUGUGUCAGAGGGAGGUGGAAUUCCGCGUGUAGCAGUGAAAUGCGUAGAUAUGCGGAGGAACACCGAUGGCGAAGGCAGCCUCCUGGGAUAACACUGACGCUCAUGCACGAAAGCGUGGGGAGCAAACAGGAUUAGAUACUCCUGGUAGUCCACGCCCUAAACACGUCAAACCUCAGUCUUCGUUGGGGCCUUCGGGCCUUGGUAGCGCAGCUAACGCGAAGUUGACCGCCUGGGGAGUACGGUCGCAAGAUUAAAACUCAAAGGAAUUGACGGGGACCCGCACAAGCGGUGGAUGAUGUGGAUUAAUUCGAUGCAACGCGAAAAAACCUUACUCUACCCUUGACAUGUCUGGAAUCCCGAAGAGAUUUGGGAGUGCUCGCAAGAGAACCGGAACACAGGCGCUGCAUGGCUGUCGUCAGCUCGUGUCGUGAGAGCGUUGGGUUAAGUCCUUGCAACGAGCGCAACCCUUGUCAUUAGUUGCUACGAAAGGGCACUCUAUCGAGACUGCCGGUGACAACCGGAGGAAGGGGUGGGGAUGACGUCAAGUCCUCAUGGCCCUUAUGGUGGGGCUUUCACACGUCACACAAUGGGUCGGGACAGAGGGUCGCCAACCCGCGAGGGGAGUCAACCCAGAAACCCGAUCGUAGUCCGGAUCGGUAGUCUGCAACUCGACUGCGUGAAGUCGGAAUCGCUAGUAAUCGCGGAUCGGGCAUGUCGCGGAAUACGUUCCGGUCUGGCACACACCGCCUGUCACACCACAUGGGAGUGGGUUUUACCAGAAGUAGUUAGCCUAACCGUAAGGAGGGCGAUUACCACGGUAGGAUUCCAUGACUGGGGUGAAGUCGUAACAAGGGUAG
rnacentral:rRNA from 1 species